rnacentral:ncRNA from 2 species
AAGGGGCGGCGCGUUAUCGGUGCCCACGGGCGAUUCUCGCCUAGGGUUAAACGGGAAACAGGUGCGCGGACCAUCCUCUGCUCGAUGGCCGCAAUGCCUGUGCUGCCCCCGCAACGGUAAGUGCGCGCAAGGCGGAUCACGCAGCCACUGGGAGGAUCUCUCCCGGGAAGGCGACCCGUCCGUCCGGCCUCUGGCCGGGCAGCGCACGAGCCCGGAGACCGGCCGGAACGCGAAAUGGCGG